rnacentral:rRNA from 1 species
UACGGAGGGUGCAAGCGUUAUCCGGAUUCACUGGGUUUAAAGGGUGCGUAGGAGGGCAGGUAAGUCAGUGGUGAAAUCUCCAAGCUUAACUUGGAACUGCCGUUGAUACUAUCUGUCUUGAAUACCGUGGAGGUGAGCGGAAUAUGUCAUGUAGCGGUGAAAUGCUUAGAUAUGACAUAGAACACCAAUUGCGAAGGCAGCUCGCUACACGAAUAUUGACUCUGAGGCACGAAAAGCGUGGGGAUCAAAACAGGG